GUUCCUAGUUUUAGAUGUAUGCUCUUUCGAAAAGUUACAAGAAAGAGGUUGAGGUAAAUGACCCCAUUAUUAUCUAUGCUCCUUAUCAAAGCACACACAAUCCCAAAAUGUUUCAGAACCCGUCAAUGAGUUUGUGCCUGGCACCCACCUUUUUUAGUAGGAGAAGAUGCUUUUUCUCAGAAAAGAAAUGCUGAAAAGAUCUGACUGAGAAUCUCAUUUGGAUCUGGGGUGUGGUUGGUUUUUUUCUGGCUGUGCCUCUGAGAGGCAUUUUAAUCCUCUAUUGUUUACUGCUUAGGAAAGCUGAAUUCUGUUUCUGUGGGUGGGAAUAUUCUUUUCAUAUGGAAGCGUUUGCCAUUUGUUGAUCCUAAAAAAUCAAGUGUCCUACAUUAGUGCACAGAGCUCAGUGUUAACAUGUUAAAUAUGCAGCUUGGAAGUACAAGUUACUUUAAGCCUUAUUCCUAGAACUGUUCUCGAUUUCACUGAAGCUCAAGGAAAUAAUGAAGUAAAUAGGAAAAAAAAAAAAAGGCUUUAAUUUGUGUUCUGUAAGGAAGUUGGAGAUGGAAAUAUGUUUGCCAGUGGAAAAGUGUGGAAGUUAACUAUGAUUCUGCCCAAUUUUUUUCCUUUCUGGAAUUUGAUGAUGAAGAAUUAGAUAGGCUCACGAGCUGGAAAUGUGGGGAGAUUUCUAACCAAAUGUGCAACAAUUCAGAAUGGCUCAGCAGCAGUUCAUUUAAUUCCUGGAAAACAAACUGUAAUGGCAUCAGCAUUAAAAACUGGAUAAAAAAUAAACUGUUCAGUAGCUGAGCUCUCCAGCAAGACCAUUUGUAAGCUACUCCUGAUGGGAAGGGCACAGGUUAAAAGGAUUAAGAUUUGCCUUACAGCUUUCAAGUUGUUUCCUACAUGAAGUCAUGUGAUGUUUGCAAUAUGAUUCUUUAGGGAUUAGUACAUCCUCAGCUACUCAGUUUUCAUUGAUGGUUUGGAAUCAAGUUUAAAAUCACAACUUAUUUGAAAAACGUACAAAACAGAGCUGAUGUAAACACUGUUGGGAUGAUGAGAACAAGCUGAUCAUCUGGACAUGGCUUUCUUUUUAGAAGCCCUUCUUUUUUUUAAUUUUUUUUUUUUUCACUUUGUAAAAUGAGCUCAACCUAAUCCAAGGUGACCUUAUUUGAUGUCUGCUAUAAGAAAGAGAGGAAUUUUCUUCUCCUUUUUCGUUGCUCAUGGAGGUAUCCCAGAGGACUAGCUUAGAGUAGGUAAAAGAUGUGCAGGCCAUUGAAGACAGAUGAGAAGAACCUCAGCCUAAGAGAAUUUUCAUAGUUCUUUUGGUUGAGUUGGACUUCUGGAAGUUACCUUCUUCCCCAAGCAGGAAUAUUUUCAAGGCUAGAUAAUGUUGCUCAGAGCCUUGUCCAGAGCUUCUUUUUGUCUGUAAGCAGCAAUAAAGAGCAAGGAAUCUACAUUACCUUCCUUAAUACUUUAGCUAGUAUAUCUUCUGCUGGAAUCAUCAUCUUCUGUAAUUAAUUCGGCCCAAAAAUAGUUUUACCUGAUCAAAUGUAUUGGGAGCUUCCUGGAGAUGUAUUUUAGGGACACAGAAGCAAAUCUGUUAGCAAGGAAAAAGUGUGCACCUAAAUAUGAGCAGCAAAUAUGCAAAUUCUCCCCCCAAAGAGCCAGAAAACCUAAUUAAGAGCUAUUAUCCAUCAGCACCACUCUGUCCAAGGCUCUUGGCUAUUUGCAGCGCCAAUGACAGAGCACAUUCUCAAUCACCAUGUAGCACUUGGAAGUCCACCAAAGGAAAUCGGCACUUUUCCUGUUGCUUAGCUGGCUAAACUGGAUUUUAGAACAGUUCAGUUCUACUGACUGUGUUAAAUGUGAGCAAUGACCUUCUGGGACAGCAGAACUUUUGUAGUGGUGGCUGGUGUUAUUUAUGAAAGCUAAAGUAAAGAAAUAGCUGAAAGCAAGGAGUCUCAAACUCUGGACUCCAGACUCCUGAGGGAUUGUGGAUUGCUCGUGAAACUUCAACUGCAACAGGGAGGAGAACAAGUUUAUUGUCAAGGGGCUUGAUUAUCCAUCUGUUGUUGGUAGGGAUCAUCCGUGUGUUAGAAAAUGUGUAUGGAGAUUAAAAUUGUAAGCAGUUGAAAGCCAUUGAUGUGGCAUUGUGGAGAGGAACAAAAGUUUAGUAGCUUGGUUUCCCAAAGGCUAGAUUCUCCAUCUCUACAAGCAGAGACACAAAGGUUUGAAGCACUGGCCUUCUGAGAUAUCUUGGAUUCCCUCGGGGUGUGUAAUGUGCAAAUACAUCGUUGGCUAGAAGCUGCUGGGUGUAACAUACAAAAGUAAAUAGAUACAACACUGAAAAACUAAAACAGUGUUUGUUUGCUUGUUUGUUUUUGGGAAAUAAUUUACUGUGAAGAAAUUGGCUGGACCAAUGCUGGAGUUCAAACUGGUGAUCUCUUUCUCUGACUGUAUCUUUUUCUCUGUCUUCCCUUCCUCCAUCUCUCUCUUUUGUUUCUUUUUCCUUUGUAAAGGUAUGUUGUUAUUUGUAAAGGUACUUUGUUAAGUAAUGCAAAGUUUCAAUGUCUUAGAAAGUCAUAUAAUUUAGCUGCACAUCCUAAAUAGAUAUAGUUGUAAGAGUGCCGAUACUUUUAAGAUAAUUGCAGUACAGAAAUUCUCAUUCAAAUUGAUGAUUGUGUCCGGACCUUGAGUGCCAGUUUCAUGUUAAUCUAACCAGGGGGAUUUUGCAAAUCUGGUCACCCAUCUCUCCCUUUACAGGCAGAAUGUGACAACCACCAAACUGGUUCCAGGCUUUCUGCAACUGGCCUGAUGAGUCUUAAGGCAAAAAUAAAUAAAUAAAAGAAUGUGAGAGAUGUAUAUGAACAGCACAGGAAAGGUGAAUAUUCAUCCUCUGUAAUAUUGUUUUAUAGAUGAUGCUUCAUUAUAUUACAAAGAGCAACUAUUCACCUUUUCUUAUGCAGUCGAAGGAUCAGGAUGUCAGCACCAACUAGAGGGCAGACACCAGACAAGAUAACUUCUCUAGGCAGUGCAUAUUUGAAAGGAGGAGAUCAGCAUCAGAAGAUGUUUUGGAAACCAGAAUUAAACAUAAAUUUAAAAAGGAUGGAUUACUGAAAGGGAGCAAGUCCCAGCAAGGGCUGUUGAACACAAUGAUAGGAAUGCAACCUCUCUUUCAAAAAAGCCCUUAAGCUGCAGAUGGCUGGGCUGAAGGUUAUGGUUCUCCUCUUCCUUCUCACAGCAUUGGCUGCUGCCAGAGGAAGGAUAGCAGGCUAGUUGAAACUUUGCUCUUUUUUCCCCAGUUGACUCUUCUUGUGUUCUAAGUAGUGCUAGCCUGCAUAUAGGUGAAAUAGUGCUAAGUAGUCUGGCUAAUCAUGCACAGCACUCUGUAUAGUCUCAGGCCUUUUAGAUCCAGGUCUGUGCUGGAUGUUAUUUAGGGUGUUAGCAUAUAAUUGUGCUGCAGCCUUUCCUCUGAGCCUUGUCUCCAUACAGUAUGAACCUGAGACUCUCCUUCCACAACCAGGUCUCUUCAGGCUCAAGGUGCAGGAGCUGGCCCAAGCUGAGGGGCAGGUUGAGGCAGAUGAGAAGAAGAAAGGGGAGAGGGAUGAUGAUGUAGCUGGAGCAGUGCUGUGUGGAUUAUUAGGCCUGCGGCUUUGCAGUCUGACUGCUUUCAAAUGAAAGCAUUUUUUUAGUUUGUUCCAGGUUUAAGCCAGAGAUAAACAGGAAAUUAAUGAUACCAGUGCCAUUAUUGACUCCUUCCUUAUUAUUUCUGUUCUGUGCUUUAAAAAUGGUAACCUAACCUGCAAGCAGAUGAGACAGUGCACAGCAGACCUUCAGAAUUACUAGGACUCUGAAAUAAGCUGCAUGUGUUUGAAAUACUGAAAAAGCUGUUAGUAUCUUUCCAUUUGUGUUUCAGAGCAGAAUUAAGGACCCCUGUACAUGAUACAGAUGUCACCGAAAGAAGGCUGCACACUGUUGUUUUUCUUGCACUCAGACCCUACCUGGUGCAUCUCACAGACUAACUCAGGCCAUUUGUCACAGUGAUGGACCCCCUGGAGACACCAGGAAGCCCUGCACAAGCUGCAGUUUGUACCUUCCUCGUUUGUACAAUUUUCAGAUAAGCCACAGUGCAUAAUCCUUUUGUCAUCUGUUCUCAGCCUAUACACAUGUAUGGGGCUGCUGAAUCACAGCCUGAACCUCUGAUUGAUCACUUGAGGCAAGCAAUAAGUCAGCCACGGGUGCACAGGUGAAGGCAAUUCACCUGUGCUGCAGAAAGGAGUGGAGCCUGGCUUCACCUCUCCUAAACCCAUGUAAGAGCUGGCUACCAGUGGGGAAGGAUCCCUUCUGGAGAUCUGCUCCACCUGAGUUUCCCACAUGAGCUCAGGGUAGGGUUCUCUUUUGAUCAGACAAGUAAGUUCCAGGAAAUCCAUUAAUUGUCAUACAACUUUGAGGCAUGUUUUUUGUGAACGUUACCUUGGUGCUUUUAAAAAGCACUGUUAUUUCUCUCAGUACAAUCAACCUAGAGUCAACUUCAUGUUACUCUUGCUUGCCCCACAGAUGUGACUUCAGGUUUCUGAUAGCCCAAGUGGGACAGGGCUAUGUGUGGGACCUGUAUCUCUGACACUCCCGUCCCCCUGUCAGAAAUCCUCAAGGCUUAUCUAAGAGAAGAAGCUCUUCUGUAAUAACCUAAUGAGGCUGUGUGUUCCUGUGGAAGCCAGCAGGACCCCAGCUUCACCCUGUGCCUUGGGCUGAUGCUGUUCUCUGGAGCAGCUGUGUUGUGGCUCUGCCUCCCCCAGCUGUGAGCUCCUUCCAGUCUGUAGCCCGGACUCCUGCUCACAGCUCCCUUCCCAGGCUCUCUGCAUCAUCUGCUUUCCUUCUGCUCUUCCUUCUGCAUCAGCAAGUCAUGCAAAGGAAAACCCACAUUACUGUUUUGGUGUUCUGUUUAACUUUGGUUCAGUGGAGAGAAAGUAGAGCAUCCUUUGUGCAGAAGAGAAAUAGGGCAGUCUUCAAUGCGCAUCCCCUUCAUGGAUAGUGUCAUUCCAGGCGUUUGCUUCUUGUGCUUCUUUUCUCUGGCCUUCUUGAUUUGUAGUGCAUUUUAAGUUUACUGAUACAUAAAGAAGUGUGAUUGUUCUUCCACUGUUCAAGAGGACUUUUGGCUGCUCCAUUCACAGAGUGCUUCUAAGGCACUCUGGGUGCUUCUUUUAAUUCCAGUUAAGCCUUGGACUCUUGGUACACAGCACAAGACAGAAUCUAAUUAUUGAAAUAAUUAUUAUUGCCUUCUGUGCCUCAUUGUGGUUUUUAAAACCCUGAGCCACAUUUGGAGUCCCAGCUCUGGUCCCUGCUGGCACCAACGGGCAGUGAUUGCAGUCUGUCAGCCCAGGAACAACGUGACUGCACUUACCUACAAUGAGUUACUCAUUUAAAAUUAUCCUGGUAUAUUUUUGACUCUGAAAAGAAUAUAUGACAGCAGAAAGCUUUUCACUCUUCAAUUAGUGCAUUGUGAUUUCAGUGGCUGCUUCUUUGAGAAGAUGGUAUGUCUGGCAAUUUAAAAGUGAAGGUAUAGAAGAUACUAAUAAGAAGAUAUUAAGUGUCAUCUUAAGUGUUAAAAUUUUUUCAUUCAGACGUUAUUUAUAUGCAGCACCUUUAGUUCUAGCUUCACUGAAUCCUCAUUACCAUUCUUUUAGUCUGUGCUGAGAACUAUGAGGGCUGCUCUGAAAGUAGUGCUGCCUCCUUCAUUAUGUCUACCCAUGACAUCAGAGGCAGAUGGUGGUGGUAUGACAUAGAGGCUGAACCUUCCCACUAACAUUGCAUUACGUGGUGUUGCCGUGUGGCAGAUGGCAGCAGGGGGACAGUCAGCAAAAUGGUCUCUGAUGUGGAAGGGCGUACGAAGAAAAGAUGUGCCACUGAAUUCCUCCAUGUGGAAAAGACUGCAUGCAUUGACAUUCAUCAACACUUUGUGCACUUGAUAGAGACCAAACAGUGCACAUGAACACAGUGAGGCACUGGGUGGUGCAUAUCAACACUGAUGAAAUGAAAAACAAGCCACCUUUCAGAUGGCUGUGCAUAGCUGUCACACCAUAAAACGAAGAGUGUUUCGAUCAGUUCUUCAGCACGAAUUAGCAGAUUACAAGCAAUGCUUUCAUGCUUUGGAAACGAUUAUGGCAACACUGGAAUAUUACAAAGUUUGCUCCCAGUGGGUCCCACGAAUGCACACACAGGAACAGAAGAGGCACCGUAUGCAAGUCCUGUCAGAAUCUGUUGAUCCAGUGUGAGGCUGAAGGUAACAGUUUCCUGGAUCACAUCAUUAAUGGUGAUGAGAUGUGGUGUCGUCUCUACAAGCCAGAUUCAAAACAGAAGUCUGCAGAAUGGCAGUGUGAGUUCCCUAUCAAAGAAAAACUUCAAGAUUCAGCCCUCAGCAGGAGCGUGUUUUGUAGCUGAGAGUUUGCUCUUUCAAAUAGCAUUAUUGUGCUCUAUCUGUUGUAAUUUCCAUGGGAGUAAAUAGUUUGGUUCCUGAAAGGUUUUAAAUUAUGUGUGGGUUAGUAUAUGUAUUUGCUGUGUUUAAAGAUGUUUUCAAUAUAUGUAUUUGACAGGAAACAAAUUUUCAUAUAUCCUCUUUUCCAGUGAAACCAGAAUGUUUUGAACUUUUCUGCAUUCUCAGCCUUUUCUUAGUGGUUAAAUUAGAAUAGCAAAUGUUUUAAUUGGUUGUAAAGGUGUAUAUGAGUAGAAUAAUCAAAAGGUUGAGCAAGAAGGUGAGGACAGAGAUCCAAAUCCAUCAUGUCUGGAUUUAACGUCCAAGCGUCUGUCAAAUUGGAAUCUGGUUAUGAAAGGUUGAAUGUGGGGAGCAUGUCUUUUUCCUGUGUAAGGCGAGUAUGGCAAUGUGGAGAUUAAGAUAUUUUUUUUUAGGAACUGUACUGUAGCUUUCUCUGUUAAACUAAUUACAGUCAUUUAGAAACCAUCUUGCAUAGUCCACAUAACUGGUUCUAGGCUGCUACCAACCCUCAUUGCUGGCUCUUUUGCCCUGCUGCAUCAGGCUGUAGAUAGUUUUUGAGCACCACACCAAUAAAAAGCUUUACAAGAGGGUAUUUGCCCUGAUUUCUUUGACUUAAACUCAAAUCCAAGUUGCUUCUACUUAUACAACUGUAAACACUGCUCUGAGUUUUAGGACAGUCACACUAUAUCAGAAGAGUGGCAGGGAGAGUUUGAACUAAUAAACUAAGUUUACUUAGUAUUGCACAAAGGCAGCCUUAUCAAAUUAUCCACAUUUGUUGCAUCAUAUAUAAAAUGUGCCAUUUGGAGCUGCUCACGCAAUUUCAGCAAAAGCUGCACUGAGCAACAUUAGCAUAUAAUUUAAAAUGAGGCCUUGGACAUUUUUACUCCCUAAUGAUAAAAAAAAUAUGUAUUGAUUCUUGAUUUGUGCAAUAAUGUGAUUGCAGUGGAGAUAAUCGAAUCAUAUCUGGUGGAGGAUUUCGAAGGAGCACUCACAGCUCAGCAUCCAGGGGUGGCAGGAUACACGAGUGCCAUCUUCUGCUUCUGGAAAGUUUCACCCAUACAGUUUUCUGUUUUACAUGGGGCUUUCCCCAUGUAGAUUUCAUUUGAAUAAGUAAAGUGAAAUGAAAUGACAAAUUAGUAAGGAAAAAAAUGGCAUAUUCGUCAUGUGUGGCACAGAGAAAGCAGUACACCUCUCUUUAAUGCAAAUGAUAUUUUCACUUACUGAUGGAAUUGAGGUUCUGUCAAUGAAAGGAAGUAACCUUACAACUUAACAUUAAUUAUCAGCAUCUCAUAGUGAUCUUCCUGAGCUUUGUCACUGAUCUUUUAAUAUAUUUGCAUCGUGACAAGUGACUCAGCUUUUUUGCGCUGUAGUAAAACAGCUUUUCACAUCAACUCAAAUUUACAGGCAGAAGGAAUGUUGCUAGAGAGGGACAUGGCUUUAUUUACUCUGUGUUUUUCUGACAGCGCUGUGUGGAUUAGUCAGAGUCCACAUCCAGUUAUGUGAUACACUGCAGAGUCUGAGCAGGUCUCAGUAUUUUCUGUCCUUCCCAUCUUUAAAGCACAAGCAUCCUUGAGUUCCACCUUUUCUGUAGGGAGCCCUGUGUCUCUUCAGGUAAUAUAAAAGCAGAGAUUCUGUAAUUGCAGCCAACAGUGUCCUAGUGGCUGUCUUGAUUGUACCUUAACUCCUUGGGGGUUAAAGUAUGUUUGUUCUUUUCAGCUUUGCUGCAAAAAAAAAACCAAAAAUUAUUAAGAACAUAGAAAUAUUGGUUUCAAUCUUUUUCUUUUUUCCUGCUGCUUUUUGUUCACAGCCCAUAGAACACCACCAUCUGCAUAUCAUAAUGGGGAGAAUUAGUAGAACUUUGUUUUAGAAAGGGCACACAACCACAGGUCUGAACUACCCUGAACCUUGAGAUAAGAUCAGAGCUGAACUUUGUUUCAAGUACCUCUCUGUUUUUCUAUUAAUAAUAAACUAGUUACAUAUACACUGGUUUGUAGAUCAGAUGAAAGAGAUAUUUCAUCAUCAAUAUCUGGAGCAUCUAACAUUUAUUAGGAAAUAGCUUAUAUUGGUUUAAUUCCAUAGUAUGCAUUAAUCAGUAACACUAGAUAUAAUUAAGCAUGUUUUGUUGUAGGCACAGUAUUCUACCAGCUCUGUCUCACUGUUCUGCAUCUAAAAUCCACAUCCCCUUCAAGUGUUCGAAGUUUCAGUAGAGUAUGGCAGCAACUCUAGGCAGUAAAAUACAUCGCUUAUCCUGCUGCUGUGAUUGUAUAAACAUGCAGUUGUUUUCAACUCGUAGUUUGCUUAAAAUGUGUUUUCCUUGCAGUAGGGGUGAUCAUUUUUCUCCAUGACUUCUUCAUCACCAGGCUAGUUGCUAAAAGGCUUUGGUCACCAUCAGGACAGAGGACAGUUCUGCUAAGCCAGGUGCUUUGAAUUUUGCAUUCCUAAGAGUUAGCAAAUUGCUAGAGUCCCUGCAGGAAGUCUGUGACUAAGCAUCCAGUUGUGUUUGUGUCCAGCAGAGAUUAGAGUCUUCAAGGGAAAGCUGGAUGUUUUUUCUGAAUCUGGUACCUCCUCUGGGAAAGCAGUCCUAAAGACUUGUAUUAAACUGGGCUUCAAAUUUGGCUUAGGUAAAACCUGCAUUAUAUGUGAAAUACAAGGAAGCUUCUUAAAGUGAUUGAAAAUAUGACUACAUAUGGUUACUGCAGAAACACAUGCUGAAAUAAGCCCUGGUACAUGGCUCAUUCCUCUGGUUCCAGCUCACCACAUCAGAGUUUUAGCAUAUCCCAGGAAGUGCAUGUUUCCUCCGAAUGCCUGGGAGUCUUUGGAAGUUCGUAGCACAGACUUUCUCUGUGGAAAAUAUCUGCUGCUCAGCACAGCAAGCUCCUUGGCUAGUGGAGGGUGCUGUAGAAAGUACAUUAACACUUUGAGUUUCUAAGCAAGUCCAUAGCAUCAACACUGUGGAAUAGCUACACAGUGAGUAUAGGAAUAUAUAGAAAUGCAUUAGAUUGGGAAAGAUGGUUCACAUGGGUCCCAGUCUUACAAAGUACUUCACUUAACCCUCAUGUGCAAUAUUUAAAGCAUUAUCAGUAAAUUGCAUGCUCAAACUUUAACUGCUUUACUGAGCUAAGGCAUAAAUAAGUGCAUGAAGAGAAAUUCUAGAGUAGAGAAAUUGUCAAUUUUGCAAUGACUUUCAUCCAUCUUAAGUAGUGUUUUAAAGAGAAUUCAAAAAUCAGUUCUAAAAAUGCCAGCUUUAAGUAAUCUCUGUGUAACGCAGGUGGUCACAUAGCUCAUUUUAAACGAAGCACAAAUAAAAUAAACUGCAUUUAAAUAUACUGAUUGUAUUCUUACAAUUAAUACAGGUAUAUAAUAUUAAAUUGAAAGUCCUGCCUAAGUAAGGAUCUGCAAAUCAUUAAGCCAGGGUGGUUAAAAAAAAAAAAAGCCAAGAGAAGGGGAGACCUCAUAGCAGCAUUCCAGUACCUAAAGGGGCCUACAGUAAAGCUGGAGGGGGACUCUAUCAGAGACCGUAGAGGCAGGAAAAGGAGUGAUGUCUUUAAAGUAUAAGAGGAUAGGUUUAGAUUAGAUACUAGGAAGAAAUUCUUCACUAUGAGGGCAGCAAGGCCCUGGCACAGGCUGCCAAGAGCGCUGUGGAUGCCACAUCCCUGACCCUGGGCAGAUUGAUCUGCUGGGGGCAGCCCUGCCCAUGGCAGGGGGGUGAAAUUAAAUGGGCUCUAAGGUGCCUUCCAACCCAAACCAUUCUAUGACUCCAUGAUUCUGUUGGCUGCAAGGACAGAAAAUAUGAAAGGAGUGGAAUAACCAGUGGUGCUUGUGAAGAAAUAAGUUAUGCCUUGCUGAUAGUUGCUGAUCUAGUAAUGUUUUGUUUCGUUUUUUGAAGUUUAUAACUAUUUCUGUAACUGUAUCUCAUCAGCAAAGUGUUUUAAAAGAGAGAAAAGGCUAGUAGGAGAUAGAGAACUCUGAUAGAACUCUGCAAGAAAGAAAUAUCUCUAUUGUAAUACCUGAGUAAAAGAAGGUAGAAAUAAAUUGCCAGUUUUCCUAAUGGAGGAAUAAUUUUAUUAGGCUUCCUAGACACUUUUUUUUUUUUCUUUUCUUUUCUUUUUUUUGGGGGUGUCACAAACAGAGCAAAUAGCAGCUUGGCAAAAUUUACUGACAGCGAACUGAAAAUGUGCCAAUAAUCUCAUAAUAGGAAGUGCUUGAGUGAUAAAACAGCCAGUGGCAUUUCAGUGCCACUAACUGCAGAGUCAUGCAGUUUGCUGUGUAUGUAUACAAGUGCUUUGCAUACAUGACAACAGGAUCCAGAUUCGUUCUUUCCGUUCUUUUUGCAGAUUUGACGUUAAGAUGAAGCUAGAAGAUGUAGGCACUUGGAAGAUGUUGUGUACAGCUGUGAGAAAAUGGAUGUGCCAUUUCAUCUCUGCAUGCCUCUCUUACCCUGCAGUCCCUGUGGUCUAUUUAGAGUGUAUGCUCUUCUGAACUGGAGUCUUUUUUUUUUUUUUUUGGAGAGGUAAAUAUACUGUGUGAAACAGUGGAGUGGCAAUUCUGUCAUCUCCUCUAGGGAUUGCUGUGAAAUGAGAUCUAAAAAAGUUACACAUUGCUUAUACAUUGUGUUAUUUAUUAGCAUAUUAACUUCACUAUAUAUGGCAAUGUACAUAUAGAGAUCAUGGAGGUCAGUAUCCUAAAGAUCCAACUCUAGUUUUGAAGACUCAACACACUCAAGAGACCUGACACAAACAGUAGUAUAUGAAAGAUUCAUUGAAUUUCUGUGUUACAGAAUUCAGUUGAAAGCAAAAACAGCUGGGAAGCCAUUGGUAGGGCAGUACAGCAGACAUGCUUACUACAUGACUUAUAUUGGACUUCAUUUGGCAAUUACAUUUAUUUGGUGUAUAAAACAAAAAUGAAAACAAAUGUAGGGAGAAAUGUAAUGCAAAACAUUUUGUACUGAAAAAUUACCUAGUAGAUAUUACAUGUUUCCCCCAUUGAAGAUUCCUCAGUUUUUGUGGAAGCUGUCUGUGCUCAUAAUCAGUAACUAAUUUUUGAGUCAUUGCACAAAUGAGAAAUAAUUUUAAAGCUUAAAUGUCUGUCCAUAGAGUCCAGUUCCAGUGAUGACCAGCUACAGCAGUGUAUAUCAAGGCAGUAGUGUGCCUGGCUGAUUGACAAAAAGCACUGGUCAUAACUGACACACUCAUCAUUCAUUCUGGGAUUCAUUCAUCCUUUUAUCUCAAUAGCAGUAUCUCAUCUAAUUAAGUUAGCAAGAAAAAAAUGUGGCAGACAGUUUAUUAACGUGUGAAAAAUUGCUGCUUGAUGAAGAUAUGUUGUAAGACAGGUAAAUAUUCUGCUCACUAGCCAAUUAAUAUUCACAGUGUGCAUUUCAUGCUGAGAUCAGAGCUAGAAAGAAUUGACUGUUUUUCAGAAUUCCUCAGUGUGUGUGUGUGGGUUUUCAUCAAGAUACUCUUGCACAGCUGAUUACUGAAAAUGUGUUGUCACUAUCAAUUACCAAAGCGGCUGCUUUUACCUGCCUUAUGCAGUACAUCACACUGUUGUAAAAUAGCUGGUCAUGCAGAGAUUCAAGAAAUGAGUUCCAGACAUGAAGGAGCAAAAUGAGAAUUGAAAAAAGUAUUUAUGGUAUAUGUGUUGGAAGAGAUGUCUGAAUUAGUCAAGGAAUUGGCACCGGCGAUAGCAGAAUCAAUCGCGCAGGGUGGGUGAGGCUGUAAGGGAUUUCUUGGGAUCAUCUAUCCAACCUUUGUGGAUAACCUGUGCCAGUGUUUGACCCCUUUCACAAUGAAAAUUUAAAAAAAAAAAAAAAAGAAAAGAAAAGAAAAAGAAAAAGAAAAAGUGUUUUCUUGAGUGCAGAUGCGUUUUAAUGUGUGCAAAUUACCUUUUCUUCUGUCAGUGGGCACUACAAAGAGACUGGUUCCCUUCCUUCAUGUAUGCCCACUGUUGAGACCCCCCUGAGCCUUCUCCAGGCUGAGCAGUCACUUCUC